AUGCCUUCCUCAUGGCAGGGAUGGAGCCAAAGGGGAGCAGAGGAGGCACAGGGAGGUGGGCAUGGGGUGAAAAGGGACUCUGGAGCACCCCAGGAAAGGUGGUGUCCUCCCAAGGGGGUUCGGGGAGGCUUUUUGCCCCCCUUUCCAGCUCCUGCUGCUGUCCCACCCCCAUGGAAGUGGCUGCAGUCUCUGCCUGCUGUGAGGUGGGGGGGGUCACCCCAAAGGCCCCCAGAGGGACUGGAGCUGUGUCCCCCCCGUGCCCCCAUCCAAGAAAUCCCCCUCAUUGCCCUCCUUUCCAGACCCCGUGUCCCCAAAGCAGCGUGGCUCUGCAGAGGGCUGUGCUGUGCUCUGCUGCUCUCCCGGGAGCCCAGGGGGGCUGUGGGAAGCAGGGAUGUCCUGUUGGCACCAAAGAUCAGCCCCAUGGGGAGCAGGGCAGCCCCACAGCUCUCCCCCUGCUCGCUGCCUGCCCUGGGGGGGUUUUGCAGCACAGUUUGGGUCAGGGCACCGAAAUCCCAUAUUCUGGUUUCACUGCUGUGUGCCUGGCACUGGGGCAGAACCGGGCACAGUGCAGUGUCCCCUCCUCGGGACCCCUUGUGCCCUCUGCUUCCAGGCUGCUUCAGCUUGGCCAGAGCAACAGAGGAACCUCCUGCGGCUGCGGGGCUGCGUGCCAGGGCUGGCCCUUCCUCCAGAUCCCACCUUCCUCCUCCUCCCUGCCUGCCGUGGGCACAACCAGCCCCUCGGAGCACAGGUAGGGCUGUUACCCUGGGGGUGCCACUGGGGCUGGGUGGCAAGGAAGGGUCCCAGAGGAAGGGAGAGGGCUCUGCCUGCUUUGCCUGGGGGCUGCUGGACCUUGGGUCUGGGCCAGCCUCUGGCUGGGUGGCUUGGGACAGCCCCUCUCUAAGGGAUCUUUGUCUGUGGGGUGCCUGGUACGGCCAGCUGGAGCGGGGGGCUCAUCCCGGGGGUCUCCCCCACCUGGGAUGGGAACCUUGGAGAGGAUUGAAGGGCUGCCAUAGGCGGGGGUGA
rnacentral:lncRNA from 1 species